AUACGUAGGGGGCGAGCGUUGUCCGGAAUGAUUGGGCGUAAAGGGCGCGUAGGCGGCCCGGUAAGUCUGGAGUGAAAGUCCUGUUUUUAAGAUGGGAAUUGCUUUGGAUACUGUCGGGCUUGAGUGCAGGAGAGGUAAGUGGAAUUCCCAGUGUAGCGGUGAAAUGCGUAGAGAUUGGGAGGAACACCAGUGGCGAAGGCGACUUACUGGACUGUAACUGACGCUGAGGCGCGAAAGUGUGGGGAGCAAACAGGAUUAGAUACCCUGGUAGUCCACACUGUAAACGAUGAAUGCUAGGUGUAAGAGGUAUCGACCCCUUUUGUGCCGGAGUUAACACAAUAAGCAUUCCGCCUGGGGAGUACGGCCGCAAGGUUGAAACUCAAAUGAAUUGGCGGGG
rnacentral:rRNA from 1 species